rnacentral:rRNA from 1 species
AGUGAACGCUGGCGGUAGGCCUAACACAUGCCAGUCGAACGGCAGCACAGUAAGAGCUUGCUCUUACGGGUGGCGAGUGGCGGACGGGUGAGGAAUACAUCGGAAUCUACUUUUUCGUGGGGGAUAACGUAGGUAAACUUACGCUAAUACCGCAUACGACCUACGGGUGAAAGCAGGGGAUCUUCGGACCUUGCGCGAUUGAAUGAGCCGAUGUCGGAUUAGCUAGUUGGCGGGGUAAAGGCCCACCAAGGCGACGAUCCGUAGCUGGUCUGAGAGGAUGAUCAGCCACACUGGAACUGAGACACGGGCCAGAGUCCUACGGGAGGCAGCAGUGGGGAAUAGUGGACAAUGGGCGCAAGCCUGAUCCAGCCAUACCGCGUGGGUGAAGAAGGCCUUCGGGUUGUAAAGCCCUUUUGUUGGGAAAGAAAAGCAGCAGGUUAAUACCCCGCUGUUCUGACGGUACCCAAAGAAUAAGCACCGGCUAACUACGUG